UGGCCCUGUCCUAGUUCAAGAGCCCAUACUGGGGUUAUUAUGCCUCCAAGGAAAAAGAUGGGGCUGAGUCAGGGAGGAUGAGAAGAUGGGCUGGUGGCAGCUAGAGGGGAGGAAAGGAGGCCUUGGAAGCCACAGGUUUAUGGGAGGAUGAAUCGUGCUUUUCAUCUGCUUGUGCAUUGAAGCUGAUAAAUGGAUUCUCCUGAGAUACAUAGCAUACGACUAUGUCUGCCUUGAAGUUGAACCUAUAAAAAUCUCUUAGAGUCUUCAAGACAUUAUGGGAACAACACCCACUGAUAACCAUCGAGCACAGGCGAUGAGAUGUUGGUUGUGAAAGAAAAAGGUUUGUAAACACAGACUGAGAAUAUUUUUUAUAAACAUACUUCUUCAGGAUUCUCCCAUCUGUGGCUCCAAACAACCACAUCUUCUGAAUGGAAGUCAGAAUGAGCAAGUAGAGAACGACGCAUGAAGAGUUUAAUGUCAGGGGUGCUGGGCUGGAAACAUA
rnacentral:lncRNA from 1 species